UACGUAGGGGGCGAGCGUUGUCCGGAUUUACUGGGCGUAAAGCGCGUGUAGGCGGCCCGUUAAGUGGGAUGUGAAAGCCCGGGGCUCAACCCCGGGACGCCGCUUCAAACUGGCGGGCUUGAGGACGGAAGAGGGGAGUGGAAUUCCUGGUGUAGCGGUGAAAUGCGUAGAGAUCAGGAGGAACACCCGUGGCGAAGGCGGCUCCCUGGUCCGUCCCUGACGCUGAGACGCGAAAGCGCGGGGAGCGAACGGG
rnacentral:rRNA from 1 species